GUUGUUGCAGUUAAAAAGCUCGUAGUUGAAUUUCGGGGUUAGUAGGUUGGUCAUGCCUCUGGUAUGUACUGGUCUCACUGAUUCCUCCUUCCUGAUGAACCGUAAUGCCAUUAAUUUGGUGUUGCGGGGAAUUUGGACUGUUACUUUGAAAAAAUUAGAGUGUUUAAAGCAAGCUAACGCUUGAAUACAUUAGCAUGGAAUAAUGAAAUAGGACGUUCGAUCCUAUUUUGUUGGUUUCUAGGAUUGACGUAAUGAUUAAUAGGGAUAGUUGGGGGCAUUAGUAUUCAAUUGUCAGAGGUGAAAUUCUUGGAUUUAUUGAAGACUAACUACUGCGAAAGCAUUUGCCAAGGAUGUUUUCAUUAAUCAAGAACGAAAGUUAGGGGAUCGAAGACGAUCAGAUACCGUCGUAGUCUUAACCAUAAACUAUGCCGACUAGGGAUCGGAUGAUGUUAAUUUUUUAAUGACUCAUUCGGC
rnacentral:rRNA from 1 species